CGGGGAAUAUUGGACAAUGGGCGCAAGCCUGAUCCAGCCAUGCCGCGUGAGUGAUGAAGGCCCUAGGGUCGUAAAGCUCUUUCACCGGUGAAGAUAAUGACGGUAACCGGAGAAGAAGCCCCGGCUAACUUCGUGCCAGCAGCCGCGGUAAUACGAAGGGGGCUAGCGUUGUUCGGAUUUACUGGGCGUAAAGCGCACGUAGGCGGACUAUUAAGUCAGGGGUGAAAUCCCGGGGCUCAACCCCGGAACUGCCUUUGAUACUGGUAGUCUUGAGUUCGAGAGAGGUGAGUGGGAUUCCGGGUGUAGAGGUGAAAUUCGUAGAUAUUCGGAGGAACACCAGUGGCGAAGGCGGCUCACUGGCUCGAUACUGACGAUGAGGUGCGAAAGCGGGGGGAGCAAACAGG
rnacentral:rRNA from 1 species